GCACGCCGAAGGCCGAGCACGCCAGUCCGUGCUCAGACGUGACUCGCGAAGCAACCCUCAUUUUUUGACCGACCCCGUGCAUCGAGAAAUCCUCCAUUAGAUUUCCGUCUCCGAUAUCGACCGGUUUAUUGGUGUUGAGGUGCGUAAACCUAUGUCGCGUGCGCCGAUGUCGUUCUCGUUGGAGCCGCCCGAUACGUCGAUCAACUGUCGACAUUGACCUGUCAACAACGAAAAACCAAUAAAAGUUAAUAAAAGCGCGUGCCCGACUGAAUCGAAAAGUGUUUUCCAUUGGUGAACGAAGAGACAAAUGGAUUUCGUCGGAGGAAACGGCAGUGACAAACGACGAGGCCGACGGAGGGUCAAGCUCGCCCGAUGAAGAUGCCGCACGAGAUCGCGUCCGAGCACUCGUUUGAAACAAAACAAAAAAAAAAAAA